rnacentral:rRNA from 1 species
GAUCAUGGCUCAGGAUGAACGCUAGCUACAGGCUUAACACAUGCAAGUCGAGGGGAAACGACAUCGAAAGCUUGCUUUUGAUGGGCGUCGACCGGCGCACGGGUGAGUAACGCGUAUCCAACCUGCCCAUCACUUGGGGAUAACCUUGCGAAAGUAAGACUAAUACCCAAUGACGUCUCUAGAAGACAUCUGAAAGAGAUUAAAGAUUUAUCGGUGAUGGAUGGGGAUGCGU